rnacentral:RNase_P_RNA from 1 species
CGAGCCGGGCGGACGGCCGCGUGGAGUCCCCUUAGGGGGCUUCCCGAGGAACGUCCGGGCUCCACAGGGCAGGGUGGUGGCUAACGGCCACCCGGGGUGACCCGCGGGACAGUGCCACAGAAAACAGACCGCCCGGCGCUCCGGCGCCGGGUAAGGGUGAAACGGUGGUGUAAGAGACCACCAGCGCCUGAGGUGACUCAGGCGGCUGGGUAAACCCCACCCGGAGCAAGGUCAAAAGGAAGCACCCCGGUGCUUCUGCGCGGACGUUCGAGGGCUGCCCGCCCGAGUCCGCGGGUAGACCGCACGAGGCCGGUGGCAACACCGGUCCUAGAUGGAUGGCCGUCGCCGGUGGGUCCGCGAGGACCCACCGGAACAGAACCCGGCGUACAGCCCGGCUCGUCUG